GGUCUUCCGACUUACCAUUUUUGUAUUAUUUUCUUUGAAAGAACAACUAGUGGGUUUUGAGUGCUUCUCCCCUAUUUGGGAAGUUGGUCUGCCUGCUCCUCAGUCUGAGAGAGAUGUUCUGAGAAUUAAUAUCACUUCACAUUGAAGGUAUGUAUCACUACUGUUGCUCCUAUCUAAAAUAUAUAUUGUGGGCUACCUAACCAGUGAACGUGUGGCUGUGACCGUCCUGUCAAUGCCUGUCAUCACUGUUUGACAUCUUUUACUGCAAGUAUGCUUUUCUGUAUUUUUGUUAUUUUCUGAACACAACGCAUGUAUACUAUACAAUCACUAUGUAGAUUGAGUCUGAGAGAGAUAUUCUGAGAGCAGUGAACGUGUGGCUGUGACCGUCCUGUCAAUGCCUGUCAUCGCUGUUUGAUAUCUUUUACUGCAGAUAAAAACCAAGUCAACCUGAAGUGCGGGUGUCCAUGUGCCUUUCUUCUGGGGGGCUAUGUAAAGUUGGUUACAUCAGCAAAGGACACACUUUGUAUGUGGACAAUUGGUACAGCAGUCCCACACUCUUCCAGCACAGGGGCCUGUAGCACAGUCAGGUCGAACAGGAAGGGGAUGCCGGCAUUCGGAUGCAGGAAGAUACAGAGAGGGGAGGUGGAGUUCAAGGAGAACGGUCAACAGCUGGCAGUAAAGUGGCAUGACAAAUGAGACGUCCAUGUCCUCUCCACUGUCCAUAGAGCAACCAUGUCGGCCACAGGGAAGGUGGACCAACUGACGGGAGAGAGAAAAAUCAAACCAGACUAACUAACAGAUAAAGUAAUUACCUACCAAAAGUACAGAGAGAACCUCAUGAGAGAGCUGCUGGAGGAGCACCACACCCAUCGGCGCCCAUCCACUGGGGGUCAUCCUGCUGCGGACAAUCCCCUAAGCCUCACAGCACGGCAUUUUCCCUGCAAAGUCCCUCAAACUGCUGCUCAAGGUAGUCGCACACAGAGGCACUGCAAAGUCUGCCUGUCUGGCACCAGGAGAAGAAAGCAGAGGAAGUUGACAAAAUACAUGUGUUUAGCUUGUGAUACACCUUUUAUGUAUUUCACCAUGCUUUGGGGAGUAUCAUAUGCUCAAGCAAUAUUGAGCAUAUCUGCAGCAAUUAGUGACUGACUGACCUGAAAGGUGACUUGACAGGUGACCUUCCAUGAUACUAUGUCUUUAGAGGUGGGGUUGGAAAUGCAGUUGUUCAGUCACUGCAUGAAUAUGAAAUACGGGUUAUGCAAUAAAAUUGACGAUUUACAUAUUGA